CCGCGGUAAUACGUAGGGGGCGAGCGUUGCUCGGAAUUACUGGGCGUAAAGGGAGUGCAGGCGGCCGGUUAAGUCGAAGAUGAAAUCCCGAGGCUCAACUUCGGAACGGUCUUCGAUACUGAUCGGCUUGAGGCUAAUUGAGGAGAGCGGAAUUCCCGGUGGAGCGGUGAAAUGCGUAGAUAUCGGGAGGAACACCAGAGGCGAAGGCGGCUCUCUAAACUAGUCCUGACGCUGAGACUCGAAAGCUAGGGGAGCAAACGG
rnacentral:rRNA from 1 species